rnacentral:misc_RNA from 1 species
GAUGAAAACGUAGCGAAAUGCGAUAAGUAAUGUGAAUUGCAGAAUUCAGUGAAUCAUCGAAUCUUUGAACGCACAUUGCGCCCCCUGGUAUUCCGCAGGGCAUGCCUGUUCGAGCGUCAUUUCAACCCUCAAGCCCCGCUUGGUGUUGGGCCCCGCCCGCUGUGGCCGGCCCUAAAGACAGUGGCGGCGCCGCCUGGCCCUCAGCGUAGUACAUCUCUCGCUCCAGGGUCCGGUGGCCGCCUGCCAGAACCCCCCAACUCUGUGGUUGACCUCGGAUCAGGUAGGGAUACCCGCUGAACUUAAGCAUAUCAAUAAGCGGAGGA